rnacentral:rRNA from 1 species
AAGGCGCUUGAGAGAACUCUGGAGAAGGAACUCGGCAAAUUGACACCGUAACUUCGGAAGAAGGUGUGCCUUUAGUAGGUGAACCAUUUACUUGGGGAGCCCAAUGAGGCCGCAGAGAAUCGGUGGCUGCAACUGUUUAUUAAAAACACAGCACUCUGCAAAGACGAAAGUCGACGUAUAGGGUGUGACUCCUGCCCGGUGCUGGAAGAUUAAAUGAUGGGGUGCAAGCUCUUGACUGAAGUCCCAGUAAACGGCGGCCGUAACAAUAACGGUCCUAAGGUAGCGAAAUUCCUUGUCGGGUAAGUUCCGACCUGCACGAAUGGAGUAAUGAUGGCCACACUGUCUCCUCCAGAGACUCAGCGAAGUUGAAAUGUUUGUGAUGAUGCAAUCUCCCCGCGGAAAGACGGAAAGACCCCAUGAACCUUUACUGUAGCUUUACAUUGGACUUUGAACAGAUCUGUGUAGGAUAGGUGGGAGGCUUUGAAGAGUGGACGCUAGUUUGCUUGGAGCCAACGUUGAAAUACCACCCUGGUGUGUUUGAGGUUCUAACCUUGGUCCCUUAUCGGGAUUGGGGACAGUGUAUGGUGGGCAGUUUGACUGGGGCGGUCUCCUCCCAAAGUGUAACGGAGGAGUUCGAAGGUACGCUAAAUACGGUCGGAAAUCGUGUUGAUAGUGCAUUGGCAUAAGCGUGCUUGACUGCGAGACCGACAAGUCGAGCAGGUACGAAAGUAGGACAAAGUGAUCCGGUGGUUCUGUAUGGAAGGGCCAUCGCUCAACGGAUAAAAGGUACUCUGGGGAUAACAGGCUGAUACCGCCCAAGAGUUCAUAUCGACGGCGGUGUUUGGCACCUCGAUGUCGGCUCAUCUCAUCCUGGGGCUGUAGCCGGUCCCAAGGGUAUGGCUGUUCGCCAUUUAAAGAGGUACGUGAGCUGGGUUUAAAACGUCGUGAGACAGUUUGGUCCCUAUCUUCCGUGGGCGCUGCAAGAUUGAGAGAGCCUGCUCCUAGUACGAGAGGACCGGAGUGGACGCACCUCUGGUGUAUCGGUUGUCACGCCAGUGGCAUCGCCGAGUAGCUAAGUGCGGAAGAGAUAACCGCUGAAAGCAUCUAAGCGGGAAACUCGUCUCAAGAUGAGUCUUGCCGGGGCCUAGAGCCCCCUGAAGGGUCGUUCGAGACCAGGACGUUGAUAGGCUGGGUGUGGAAGCGCGGUAACGCGUUAAGCUAACCAGUACUAAUUGCCCGUGAGGCUUGACUC